AGAUUGAACGCUAGCGGGAUGCUUUACACAUGCAAGUCGAACGGCAGCGCGGACUUCGGUCUGGCGGCGAGUGGCGAACGGGUGAGUAAUAUAUCGGAACGUGCCCAGUAGCGGGGGAUAACUACGCGAAAGCGUGGCUAAUACCGCAUACGCCCUACGGGGGAAGGGGGGGAUCGCAAGACCUCUCACUAUUGGAGCGGCCGAUAUCAGAUUAGCUAGUUGGUGAGGUAAAGGCUCACCAAGGCGACGAUCUGUAGCUGGUUUGAGAGGACGACCAGCCACACUGGGACUGAGACACGGCCCAGACUCCUACGGGAGCAGCAGUGGGAUUUGGACAAGUGGGGGAAACCUGAUCCGAGCCAGUCCCGCGUGUCGCGAGU
rnacentral:rRNA from 1 species